UGGGGAAUAUUGCACAAUGGGCGAAAGCCUGAUGCAGCGACGCCGCGUGAGGGAUGACGGCCUUCGGGUUGUAAACCCCUUUCAGUAGGGACGAAGCGCAAGUGACGGUACCUGCAGAAGAAGCACCGGCCAACUACGUGCCAGCAGCCGCGGUAAUACGUAGGGUGCGUGCGUUGUCCGGAAUUACUGGGCGUAAAGAGCUCGUAGGCGGUUUGUCACGUCGUCUGUGAAAUCCUAGGGCUUAACCCUGGACGUGCAGGCGAUACAGGCUGACUUGAGUACGACAGGGGAGACUGGAAUUUCUGGUGUGGCGGUGGAAUGCACAGAUAUCAGGAAGAACACCGAUGGCGAAGACAGGUCUCUGAGUAGUAACUAACACUGAAAAGCGAAAGCAUGGGUAGCGAACAGG
rnacentral:rRNA from 1 species